rnacentral:rRNA from 1 species
GACGAACGCUGGCGGCGUGCCUAAUACAUGCAAGUAGAACGCUGAAGGAGGAGCUUGCUUCUCCGGAUGAGUUGCGAACGGGUGAGUAACGCGUAGGUAACCUGCCUGGUAGCGGGGGAUAACUAUUGGAAACGAUAGCUAAUACCGCAUAAGAGUAGAUGUUGCAUGACAUUUGCUUAAAAGGUGCAAUUACAUCACUACCAGAUGGACCUGCGUUGUAUUAGCUAGUUGGUGGGGUAACGGCUCACCAAGGCGACGAUACAUAGCCGACCUGAGAGGGUGAUCGGCCACACUGGGACUGAGACACGGCCCAGACUCCUACGGGAGGCAGCAGUAGGGAAUCUUCGGCAAUGGACGGAAGUCUGACCGAGCAACGCCGCGUGAGUGAAGAAGGUUUUCGGAUCGUAAAGCUCUGUUGUAAGAGAAGAACGAGUGUGAGAGUGGAAAGUUCACACUGUGACGGUAUCUACCAGAAA